UACAGAGGGUGCGAGCGUUGUCCGGAAUCACUGGGCGUAAAGGGCGCGUAGGGGGCCUGAUAAGUAGGGGGUGAAAUCUCGAGGCUCAACUUCGAGGCUGCCUCCUAAACUGUCAGGCUUGAGCAGAGUAGAGGCAGGUGGAAUUCCCGGUGUAGCGGUGGAAUGCGUAGAGAUCAGGAAGAACACCGAUGGCGAAGGCGCUCUGCUGGGCCGCAACUGACACUGAGGGACGAAAGCUAGGGGAGCGAAUAGG
rnacentral:rRNA from 1 species